UGGGGAAUAUUGCACAAUGGGCGCAAGCCUGAUGCAGCCAUGCCGCGUGUGUGAAGAAGGCCUUCGGGUUGUAAAGCACUUUCAGCGAGGAGGAAGGUGGUGAGCUUAAUACGUUCAUCAAUUGACGUUACUCGCAGAAGAAGCACCGGCUAACUCCGUGCCAGCAGCCGCGGUAAUACGGAGGGUGCAAGCGUUAAUCGGAAUUACUGGGCGUAAAGCGCACGCAGGCGGUUUGUUAAGUCAGAUGUGAAAUCCCCGGGCUCAACCUGGGAACUGCAUUGAAACUGGCAAGCUAGAGUCUCGUAGAGGGGGUAGAAUUCCAGGUGUAGCGGUGAAAUGCGUAGAGAUCUGGAGGAAUACCGGUGGCGAAGGCGGCCCCCUGGACGAAGACUGACGCUCAGGUGCGAAAGCGUGGGGCAGCAAACAGGAUUAGAUACCCUGGUAGUCCACGCUGUAAACGAUGUCGAUUUUGGAGGUUGUGCCCUUGAGGCGUGGCUUCCGGAGCUAACGCGUUAAAUCGACCGCCUGGGGAGUACGGCCGCAAGGUUAAAACUCAAAUGAAUUGAC
rnacentral:rRNA from 1 species